UAUUGCGCAAUGGCCGAAAGGCUGACGCAGCGACGCCGCGUGUGGGAUGAAGGUCUUCGGAUUGUAAACCACUGUCGGGAGGGACGAAGCUCUGACGGUACCUCCAAAGGAAGCACCGGCUAACUCUGUGCCAGCAGCCGCGGUAAUACAGAGGGUGCGAGCGUUGUCCGGAAUCACUGGGCGAAAGGGCGCGUAGGUGGCCAGGUAAGUAGGGGGUAAAUGCUGCGGCUCAACCGCAGCGCUGCCUCCUAGACUGUCUGGCUGAGCCCAGAGAGGCAGGUGAAUUCCCGGUGAGCGGUGAAUGCGAAGUCGGAAGACACCAGUGGCGAGGCGGCCUGCUGGGCUGUUGCUGCGUGGGCAGCGACG
rnacentral:rRNA from 1 species